GAACAAAGUACAACUGAUCAGUAAACCAAUUAGUAAUUUUAGCUGUUCAUCCUGUCUUUAUUUACUAGGGGCAAAAGUGGGAAAUGGAAGUGCCUUUUAGACCACAUGUAAGAUUCCUGCUUUUCCCUCACUGCCUUCUAUUUCUCUGCAAGCUUAUGUUACAAGAAUAUUCUCAUGGAAAUGUCUCAUAAAGCUUAUGUUGCUUAAAUAUUAUGCAAGUUACGAAAGGAGAGAGCAACCACAUUUGUCAAAGAGAUUUUUUUAUGCCAUGGGCCAGUAUGAUCGUCACAGCAGGCAACAUACCUGGAGUUUCACUCUUGUUACCCAGGCUGGAGUGCAAUGGUACGAUCUCGGCUCACCACAACUUCCGCCUCCUAGGUUCAAGCAAUUCUCCUGCCUCAGCCUCCUAAGUAGCUGGGAUGUCCUCCUGUAUCUCAAAAGAACAUGUGGUAUGUACCAUCAGGUACACACACCUGGAGAUUAUCAGUCUAGCAAAAGUAAUCAACAUCCACAUAGGAGGGAAAAGCAAAUCAACAAUACCAGAAAUGGAAUUUAUCCAUCAUCAGUCCCAGAUCUCUGAGGUGGUUUGACUUUGGCAGCCAAUUUUUGCCCUGAAAUAAGGUUGAAGUGGUGGAAAGUAACAGACCGAUUGUCAUUUGUCGUUUUGUUAUGGUGGCCUCCAGAAGUUGACUUGGGACUGCAGCAACCUGGCACUUGGAUUUUGUGCUCUGCAACUUGUAAUUUACCAUGAUACUUGAACACACACAGAGGUAAUAAUGGGAGUAGAACCCAAAAUUAAAU
rnacentral:lncRNA from 13 species